GGCUGGGUGGUGGAAUGUUUAACACGCCUGCUUCCAUUAUGCAAAUGGCUUUUCACGUUUACAGCGGGAGAUCGAUGUUCGAAUCAAGGUCGGGCCG